GACGAACGCUGGCGGCGUGCCUAAUACAUGCAAGUAGAACGCUGAAGAGAGGAGCUUGCUCUUCUUGGAUGAGUUGCGAACGGGUGAGUAACGCGUAGGUAACCUGCCUUGUAGCGGGGGAUAACUAUUGGAAACGAUAGCUAAUACCGCAUAACAAUGGAUGACACAUGUCAUUUAUUUGAAAGGGGCAAUUGCUCCACUACAAGAUGGACCUGCGUUGUAUUAGCUAGUAGGUGAGGUAACGGCUCACCCAGGCGACGAUACAUAGCCGACCUGAGAGGGUGAUCGGCCACACUGGGACUGAGACACGGCCCAGACUCCUACGGGAGGCAGCAGUAGGGAAUCUUCGGCAAUGGGGGCAACCCUGACCGAGCAACGCCGCGUGAGUGAAGAAGGUUUUCGGAUCGUAAAGCUCUGUUGUAAGUCAAGAACGAGUGUGAGAGUGGAAAGUUCACACUGUGACGGUAGCUUACCAGAAAGGGACGGCUAACU
rnacentral:rRNA from 1 species